UGGGGAAUUUUGGACAAUGGGGGAAACCCUGAUCCAGCAAUGCCGCGUGCAGGAUGAAGGCCUUCGGGUUGUAAACUGCUUUUGUACGGAACGAAACGGCUCUGUCUAAUACAUGGGGCUAAUGACGGUACCGUAAGAAUAAGCACCGGCUAACUACGUGCCAACAGCCGCGGUAAUACGAAGGGUGCAAGCGUUACUCGGAAUUACUGGGCGUAAAGCGUGCGCAGGCGGUUAUGUAAGACAGAUGUGAAAUCCCCGGGCUCAACCUGGGACCUGCAUUUGUGACUGCAUAGCUAGAGUACGGCAGAGGGGGAUGGAAUUCCGCGUGUAGCAGUGAAAUGCGUAGAUAUGCGGAGGAACACCGAUGGCGAAGGCAAUCCCCUGGGCCUGUACUGACGCUCAUGCACGAAAGCGUGGGGAGCAAACA
rnacentral:rRNA from 1 species